CUAAAUUUAAUCAAAAUUAACAAAAGUUAUGGAAGUUUUUACUUUUUUUUCUCAUAAUUUUCUUUUAUGACUCAAAAUUUAAAUUUAUGAUAAAAACUUAAACUAGAUUUAAAAAACAUAUUUAAAUAAUAUCUCUAUAAAAAUAUUGAUUAGUUUUUUGUCUACAGACACUGAGGUCCUAUAGACCCCUGGUGACUAUUAUGUUUCGUGCCGGAAGUGUCAAUUAGUUUUCAAUAAAUAAAUAAACUGGAAGUCCUGAUAAAUGUUUAUACGAUUCAUAAAAAUUAGUCGAUUCGUUUAAAAAGUAUCAUAAAUGUAAAAUUUAAAAAAGUUAUUACUUUAACAUGUUUUAACAAUAAAAUUUCAUUAUUAAUAUUCAGUAAUUUUUAUCACUUAAAUGACUAAUUAAAUCGCUCGCAUUAAAACUACCAAUGAAAAUAACUCACCAAAUAUCUUUCAGUAGCAACGGAAACAAGAAUAAGGUCGUCACCAACACGAACUUUUUCACCCUCGGAUCUUUGUUUUGAUGCUGGAUGUACUGUCCACCAACAAGCCUCUCCUGUUUAACAGAAGUACAAAAUAAUUAAGAGGAUUGCGGCUCUAAGUCAUUUGUUUAAUGCUGAGGAAUCUCUUAAUUCUGUAUAGAUUACAGAGACUAAUUAAGUAGCUAACUUACCUUGAGAGUGCUCUUGUAGACCAACAUCAAACGACAAUUUGUCAUUGGAUGAACUUGUUGACAGACAGGCGAGGAAAUUAAGAGAAACUACAGUUCACGUGCUAAUGAUUAAAUACUUACAAGGGUGUCUUGUUGCUGGAAAUGAAAAAACACAAAUCGGAAUGAAUUACAUACAAAUGGAACAAUUGAGUUAUUUUAAAAAAAAUAUAUAAGGAUGAAUGCAAUUUCUUUGCUCGGUAUUUUCAACAUAAAAAAAAAAGGGAUCACAUUGACACAUGCGAUUGUUUAAAGGUGGAUACAACACGCUGAUGCAUUUUUCAGAAUUUGUAAUUCCUUUUGUUUACAUGUAUUAAUACACUUACGUAUUUUGUAUUAUUUUUUAUUAUUCGAACAAAAAUAUGGUGCAUUAAAUUAUGUCGAACACCACGUAGUUUAUUUUUAUAAGCAAUAUUUAAAUUAUGUGAUGUCUCGAAAGCUUCGAGAUAAAUAAAAUUAAUAACAUGUAUAUGGGGGUUAAAUAUUUUUGACUGCGGUAAUUAGACUUUAAUUUUUUUUUUUUUUUUUUGGUAUUAAAAAGUAGUUUUGUUAGUUACGUUACCGUCUCUGAACCAGCUGCUGUGACUAAUUCUUGUAAAGCUCGUACGGAGAGAGCUUGUUCUAUUACAAAGACACAUUGCGAAAGAUCUGGUGGUACAUUCUGAAAUCACAUCAACAUUCGCUGUUUGGAACAUUAAAGUUUAUGUAAAAAAGUAAAAGAACAUUAAGUAUGAUAAAUAAAAUUUUCAAUGUCGAGCAAUGGAUUUUAUAUACAACGUUAUAUAAUUAUUACUUUCUUGAAAUUGUCAAAAAGUAUAUCUUAAGCGCGUCAGUUUUUAUAGUUUGAAACAAUAAAAUUUUACUUAUGUUUGUGGGCUUCCAAUGUAUGUGGAAGAAUUAACCUAAAGUAUUACUGAUGCGACUAUAUCUACAUGGCAAGAUGACGUAUUUUAUCAUUUCAAACAAUAAAAUUUAAAGACCAAAAGUGACUAUUUUUUUUUCAUAUCAAUAUAUUUUAGAGAAUCACUCUUAUACUUGUUCGCUUUCAAUAGCUAAUAUGCGCCAUGGCAAAAUCUACAAUUAUUGAUGAUAAUCAGAAAUUAUCUUUUAUUAUCUUAACUAAUUAUAACUAUUAUCAACAUCAUAAUUCUUAAUAACCUGAUGGUAUCAAAUACCAUCAGCCCAAAUAAUAAUUACUAUUUAAGCUGACACUUCUCUACAUGUAAUUUUUUCUUUGUUUAACUGUGUAUGUAAUGAAUUUCACUUAAUACUUGAAUGAUUGCUAUUUUGAUGACCAUAGCCCCUAGUAACACGUGUUCGAGCAAAAUUCAGGACAUUUUUACCACCUUCAAUGGUAGCAGUUACCAUCUUCGAUUGUAAUCAUUAUAAUCUUUAAUAGUUACAAUUAACAUCUACGAUAGUAAUCGUCACCACCAUCAAUUGUUACUGUUAUCAUUUUCAACGGCGAUUGUGUAUGCAGUUAAACGGAGAGAAUGAAACGUGAAUAAUUCAAUUGACGACAGGGUAAAAUAGACUAUGGUAAGGCGAUGAAACUCAGGGGAAACUUCGAGAUUAUACAGACGCAGGUCAAGGACGAAAAAAAAAUAUUGUUUAUUAUUUUUUUUUAUUUUCAAUUAAAUACUCGAAUGAAUAAAUUAGUUUUAUUUAUAUAUUUUUUUUUUAAUUAUACAUAUUUGUUAAAUUAAAUUGAAUAUUUAGUUACAUUUUGUAAUAAUUAUACAUCUCUUUCAUCUAAAA